UUAGGAGGUGGAAAACUGGAGCUGUGCUCUGGUGACUGGUGUCUGCAACAGGCUAAUGCUCAUCGGUGCCAUCUCUAAAUCCCAGCAGGUGGAUAUGCACAAUUGCAGCACCUUCCAGUAGACAGCUGGCACCUCUGUUAAAUAUUUUGUGGCAAUACGUGAAUGCAGAGAUGACCACAGGAAUGCACUACGCAUGCUGUGCUGAGGUCUGAUUUAACUGUCUGAAGCCAAGAGAAGCUCCACAGAGACUGCUGAGGACACGCGCUGCAUAAAGCAGCUUUUGACUACUCCAUGACUCAGAGGAAAACCCAGGACACUCGUUAUAAAAUGUGGGAAUAAUGCUGCAUUGGCAAUAGAAGUGACACGAAGACCUAUUACUUCAAGAACCCCUUCAUCUCACAUUACCGUGAUUCCAAAUGGAUAUCAUUUUAAUCUAUUGGACAGUGCAAACUAUAGCCGAUAUCGAAAGUAAGAGGAAGACCUGUCUGUCUGCACACAUACCAUGCCAUAGUCCAUGUUUCAUUUGAAGUUUCAUGAGUGAGAUUAUGGACAGCCUUACAGCGACAACAUCUAGUGAUACAGUCUGUGUAAUUAUUUCACAGGGGCCAGAAACUCCUCCACCAUCCAAAAUAAGCCUCUGUCUCGUUCAGCCUGCUGGCUGAAAGGACAAGUAUCCAGCUGCUUGCACUAAGAUCACAGGAAAAUAUCUGAGGAGAUGAGAUCUGGUUGAUUUUCCUCCAGACUUCAGCAAGGAUUAUAGCAUGUCUCUGGAUAACAUUCCUAGGAAUAAGCACAGAAAAUUUGCCAGCUGAGUUCCCACAGAGAUAUGAGCCUGACUUGGAACCUAUCACUUGCUCUACCUGCUCCUAUAUUUUCUGCAUAGUGAACAACUCAUUUCCUCAGCAGUUCUUGAAAUCACUUCAAUGCUCUUAUUUGCCAAUUGCAGCAGGAGAAACAAAGGUAGAAUUUAACAGUUGCAUUUUGCAGUUGAAGGAAAGAUGGAAGCAAACUAGUAAAGAAAAAGAGAGACGUAGCCCUUUUAAAACAGGCAUUCACUCAUUUAAGUAACUGAGUGACAUUGUCAGGAGGUACAGGCAUGUAUUGGUGAUCUUGAUGCCUGGCAGGUAAAAAGAGUGAAGACAUUUUCUUACCCUAUGGAAAUCCAUUAUAGGUCAUGAACUCUAAAUUUCUCAUCAUCAGACGCCACACACUGGCUUUUCUUGAAGAAAGAAUUAAUAUACAACGUCUCAAAGCUUCAUUAUAUUUCACUUACAUGUAGAACAUGGUUGAACUUCACUGGAAAUGGUAUUUACUCUCUAUAGCCUUGUUUUUUUAGAUGCUUUUUGUUGUUGUUGUUGUUGUUUGUUUUUUCAUUUGUUUGUUUUGAGUCAGGGUAAUAGAAAUAUGUGCUUUACAUCAGGACUGAAAUACACCUGCAAGUUAAUGGGCAAACCAGCUUUUUUUGUUUAUAUAUAUAUAUAAACAAAUAAUAUAUAUAUAUAUAUAUAUAUACAAGUCAUGAUUCAAGAUUCUAGAAUAACAGUGUGAGAAAGUAAGUUGUGCUGCAGUAGAGAAUUACUUUUCAUAAUUCCAAGGCAGUUAUGUAGUCAUAAUAAGGAGAAAUGUUAAGUAGAUAAGUAGACAAUAGAAGGUAAAAUAAGCUAGAAGCUUGAGAAAAACAGGAUGAACAGUGUGAGAACAGUAAAACAAAGAUCACAACUUCUCAAAACAUAAGAAAGAAGGAAUUAAAAGGUUGAAAAAAAAAAAGAAAAAAUGUACAUAGAUGGUAUAGAGGAGUGUUGAGUAGCUUGUGAACCUGCUGUACUCGGCUAAUAAGGAAACAGGAGAGGUGAUCAGGCAGAAGGUAAUAGGGAAUAAAAGGUUAUGAUUUGUUUACAAAAAUGUGCUCGUAAUUGACAGCAUGCCAACCGUUGCAAUCACGAAUAAAAUAGCUUCACAGAAGAUCCUGUCUGAAUAAAAUUGUUUUGAGAUGUUUCUCACAACAGUUUUAAUAGUGGGGAAAUUGUAUAUGAAUGGAUGUUGAAUACUGAGCAUGUUGGCCCAUGGAUGUGCAGAAAAUCUUGAUUCAUAUUUGCAUGUAAAAAUUUUCUGAAAGCUUUCCAUCACAUAAUUCCAUUUUCUUUAGUUUCUUAUUUCUGUCUAAUUUCUCCACAGAAAUCUCAACCCAGCAUUCCAAUGGAAAACAAACAAACAAACAAACAAAAAUACCAUAGUUGAUCUGGAGAAAAAAUAAACAUGUGAAACUUUAUAUAUGACACCAUCUAUAAACAAAAAAUACUGAAAGUUUGCCCUUUCAGAAAAAGGAAUGGGGAAAAAGGCUGAACCUCUGUUUCUAUAUCUAACAAUUCAUAUGAAAUGUGCACUUCAGUUGUUCAUUAUUAUUAUUAUUAUUAUUAAUAUUAUUAAACUAGUUGCUUUACUAGUGGUUAAACAGGUGUGGCUCAGAAUAAACUGAAAGACAGUUGUUGGCUUCGGCAAGCAGCCAUUUUGUGUUAACAAUGACAAGAUUAACAGCAAGAACAUCAGAGGUGGAGCUUUUUGAAAGCUUGUCAGAUUUUUGUUUCACGUAAGCAAAGCAAUAUGUGGGUGGUAAAAAAACAACCCUUGCUAUAGGCAAACUUGAGAAAUUCAAACCUGGAGUUAGUUGCCUACACUUUUUUUUUUUUUUUUUUGUCAUAUCUGUAUUGUUGUGAUUGACUAAACAAGAAUCUGAGGCACAUAAUCUGUUUGCAGAUAAAACAAUCUACUAGUGUCUGUAAUUAUCACCAAAGAAAUCCCAAGAUUGUACAACCUGGCUUGCACUAACUGUCUAAAAGUUCAUCUGCUUCUCUAAAUCUGAACUCCCCUGAUUUUGUCAUCUGAUCUGGAAGGUCAUGAGAUCAUACGUGUUUGUGGCAUCAAUAGUACUUGUUUGUUCAAGCAGAAGAAAUAUUACCGUUGGGCUGUAGUAUAUUUUAAUUAAUUGUUGUAAUGCAUAAAGGGACUGCUAGAGGUUUUUACAAAUGUUAUGUUCCCUCAACAGACAUACAUGUACUGAUGGUAUGCUAAUUAUUUCCCAAACUGAAAUUAUACAGUGACCGACGGGAUUGACAUAAUUUAUCACAAGCAUAACCUGAUAUCUCUAAUGUCAGAGGCUUAUACUUUGUUUGAAACUGGAAGUAAGGAGCUUUGGUGAUUUUUAUUUAUUCUGAAAUUAGUGAUCCAACUGUAGCUCACUUUAGCCGAGUUCUUGUUUUGUUCCUUUAUAGCUUUGGUAGAAGUUUUUAAAGAAUUUAAUUUUGAUGUCUUUAGUUCAGUCGUAAAUGCUGCCAACUCCUGAGAGCAUGCUCAAGUUCCUACACCUCAGUAAUUAGCUGGAAGUCAAUAGCAAUACCUGUGUGUCUAAAUCUUGGCAAGUUUCAUUCCUGAGGCACCUUAACAAGCCAAAUGAUUUUCUAAAGUGUCAAGCAAUUGGUAGUUACAAUAGGCUUCUGCAAGACAUGAUUAAAAACACAGACAUUGUCCCUAAAGCCUUUUACCCCCUACUAAAAAAAGAGUGUUCCUAAAGGCAAAGUGACUGGCAACUGCUCCAGCAGAGCUGGGACCCAGGACUUCAUCUCUCUUCUCAGUGCUCUGGACACAAUACUUGAAUUUACGGGGAUAUGUGCACUCAAUAAAAAGUCAAGAUAAACCGAAGGGUGCAACUGGACAACACAACUAAGCUAAUGUAGCAUCUAGCUGACUCCAGAAUGGCCAGGUUGUCUGAGCCAGCUGCAAAGUGUCUUGAAGCACCAGGCUCACAGACCAUGCGCCCUACAGAAACAAUGGGGUUGUUUGUUGCCAGUGGCCCUCCUGAAGAUGUUCACUGUUCUGACAGCAAUUGCCCACAAGACAGGGAGAAAAGUACAGGUGGGGGCAGGCUGGGCACGGGAGCACUCCUUAGGACACUAUCCUUAGGACACUAUCACAAGAACUUCAGGUGCCUUUUUCUCUAUCGUUAAACCACACAAACAUCCACAGGUGUACUUUUAACUCAGCUUGCUAAAACGUGCAAACGAAAUUGCAAUGUUUGUUAAUGGACAGUUAGAAAUCACCCCUUUCUUUCCCUCCACCUGAGGUGGACUAUUUUGCUUUCUAUACGGCAUCCCUGCUUCUUAGCAUGCAGUACAUGUGCCAGGAAAAAGUAGGCUCAUCCAGGUCCAGUUCCAAGGGAGUAGAGCUAGCUUAUUUAAAUCAGAGGUAUCAUAAUGCCUGUCCACAGCCCUGAGUACAACAGCCCUGAAUUAUCUUACACGUGGCACUUCCAGGUAGGAUCUACCCAAGCUGUUCCACGUUCAAUACAGCAAAAUGCUAAUCAACACAUGCAAUUAAUUACUGUCUAUAAGUAGGGCCUGAAGCCUUAAUUAACAUUCCUCUCUGAUUAAAUUAUCACUGAUGAUUCCAAGUCUCAGGUGAAACUGAGUGUCGGAAGUUUUUAGUGCUUGAUCUUCCACCCCCCUGUCUCCCAGGACUUCAAAGUAAACAUAAGGUCCAUUUCCCAAAUCCGAUGGAGCCUUGCCAUGCUCCUUUAUUUCCCUGGCCGUAUUUCCUGCAGCAAAAAUCCUGAACUUAGCAGUUUUGCCUGUUUCACUGUCCCUUGAUGUCACCAGAUCUCCGCAAUUUAGUUUUAUAAAAGGCUUAAGAAGCUAGUCAUUUAUUUUUCAAUGUUAGAAUGUUACUGGUUUUAUAUUUGAGGUGUUUCACAAACAAAGAUGAGGAAAGACAACCUCUAGCAACCUCUAGCAACAUAUGACUAAAUCCAGUCACUUGAGUGAACAAUGUUCAUUUUGAGUUUUUACUACCUUGUCAGUCAAAGUAAAUUUCUCUGCCUUAAAAUGAUCCUUUUGUUGUGUCAUUUCCAUCAUCCAUAUCUCCUGUUUUGUUUUUGUAGCUUAUCUCCUGUGUUUCAACAUCUGAAAUGGUAACUGACUGUAAAUCCAUCAAAAUAUAUAUUUGUAAUUAAAAUGCUGUUUUCUCAAAAACAGCAUGGUUUUAUAUCACCAAAAAUCUAAAAGCACUCUAAAAUAUUACAGAAACUUGUGUGUUAGCAUGUUACACUUUGCUAAAAUCUAGACAUUACUUUUUAAAAAUUAGGGUAGACAGAAGCCUGCCCAACCAUCUCAUGUGAUGAACAAAUGUGUCCAAGUAUUAGAUGAAGUGCUUGGAAAACUACCAGACUGAGAUGAUUAAUAACAAGGAAGGAGGUAUUUACUUCUGGGUACUCAGCCAAAGUUUUUGUUGCCUAUAAGAGCAUGAUGGUUGCUAGCUGACAUCAACCUUUAGAGUCCAGGUGAUUAAUUUGUUUUACUAACUGUGUUAUCACCUCCUUCAAGGGGACUACCUUAGGGUCAAGCUGAUCCUAAUGGGCCCCUAACAUCAAAUUUUCAGAUAUUCUAAAGUACUGGGAACAUCUAGAGACUUCUCACUUUUAUAAGGUCAUAUAUGAUAAAAAAUAUCAACAAAAAUAUCAAAACAGACUGAAACAGUUUCCCAUACCAAGUUUUCUUUUCUUUAAAAUGAAGACAAUAACAUAUCUUUAUCUCUUAGAUGAAAAUGCAUGUUGAGAAAUAUGCUUGGGUACUUGGGGGGAAUUUGUUACAGAUAUGCAAAAAUCUGUAUUAAAAUAUAUGUUGAUUUAGAUCGUUAUUUUAGUAAAUUGUGUGUCAUAUAAAGAAAACUGUUUUGGUCUAGAUAAUAACUUCCUCUGAUUUGCAACUUGCUAACAUUUUUGAGAUUUUGAUUUUAGUCCUUGGAACAGUGAGAAAUAAAUAUUUCAAAAUCUUGUAUAUUUGCAUAAGGUGGGGAGAUGAAUUUCCUUCUCAUCUCCUCUGCUUAUCUCUAUCUUCUUGUGAAUUGUCAUUCACCUUUUAGCUCAUCUUUAUGUUAUAUGCAUUUCAUUUUCACCUUUUCACAUAGUUCUCUACAGCUACAUAGACUUAAUACAUUUAAUCGUAGCUUAGUACUAUAGCUCUGUAUCAUAAAGAAAACAAGCGUAUAGAUAUAGCAUAAUUAGUAUCUUACAUCAGAAUGAGGGAAAGUAAUGAGUGAUUAUAAAAUCUGGCUGGAAUACGUAACUAUACUUCCAAUUUGAUACAGUGUCAGUGUGUCAUGAUUGGGAAAUAACUUUGUGAAGGAUAUAUUUUCUCAGAAGGUUUUUUGUUUUGUUUUCUUUUGUUUUUCUGGGAAAAUAACAAACAACAUUGGAUAGUUUUUGUUACCUUUGAAUAGAUGUGUUACUAGAAAAAGCAGAAGACUAAACAGGUUUUAUCCACUAGCUUAAAUUUUAAUAAAGUAUAAAAACUGCCUCCAAGCAACCAUCCAGUUGUGCCUUUGAGUGAGCCAUUUGGGGCACUUUUUUCAUUGCUUACCUUCUGAUUUCGCUCUAGGACAAUACAUACCAGUGGGCAAGAAGUAUGCUUGCCAUAUCAGAGCUGUAAAGUGCAGUCCCAAGGAAAAUGAAUGAAAGAGAUGAAGCUGUUCCUUGUGAAAUGUUGAUGUUGUUUCAAGGUCCAAGCAUUCCAAAGAAUUAAGAUGUAAGGCAUAGAUGGAGGCAUUCCCUCUUUUUUUCUUCUGUGGCCUAACACAGAACAUGAAGCUAUAUCUAUUGCUACCUGUGGGAUCUCAACAAAUAAAGACAGAUCUGGACCCUCUGCCUCACAAAAGUGCUGGGCUGAAGACAGUCAUAUGGAAUUUCCUCCUUUGGUUGGGCCUUGUUGCUGCUGUUAGCCUGUUGUUUGCAAGGGCUUUGUAACUCUGUCUCCCUGUUUUGGACAAUGCCCAUCUUUCAAGUUCUUGUGCCUGAUUUCUGGCAGUGCACUUAAAACUAUUUGUGAUGAUUAUUCAGCAAUUUCUAGAGCAUAAUGCAGUGAAUCACCUUUUGCAGUAAAUAUUUCUUCAAGAGGCUUGGGGUGUAAAACAAUACCUGCUUGACAUAUUCUGGUUAAGCCUACCUGUUGCUAAAGUUGACUGAUGAGUCGUCAAAGGAUACGGAUCCCUGCCCUUCCUUUACAAGCACUUCCCACUUAAUUUUUAGAGACUUAAUAGUUGAGUCACUGUUAUAUUAAAGAGUCUCCGUAGCUAGAGACCAUAGCUCAGAGUGCUCAUCAGUCACUAGCUAAAAUCAUUUUACUAUCUAUCUCUGAGUAUAUGAAUGUGAAAUAUUCUUGCUUCAUGCCCCACAAAAGAUCCCUCAUCAAUUCUGAAUGCAGCCAAAGUCAGGCACCAACUCUUCUAGUAAGAAAAUGAUUUGUUCUUGCUUAACAGAGAGCAAUAGUUGGAUUAGAGAUGCAUUGGGCAAGUUACUAAUGAGGAAGCACCUCAUAAGCAGUGUCAAGAAGUCUCAUCCACAGGACCUGGGGUUUCAGUGGUUGGCUGAAGGAACAAACACUUUUUUUUUUUCUUUUUCCAGUGACUGGUGAAUGAGGUAUUCGAAUUUGAAAUAAAUAAAAUAAAAUAAAAAAUAUUAAAGAUGGUAAGUGUAACCCUACAUAUCCUUCACCCACUUGUCUUGCAUUGAUGGAUGGCCCCUCAGUUCACAGCUGGCAAAUAUAAGGUAAUCUUAUGCCAAAGUCAUCAUGGGUCAGGUGCUCCUUCAAGAAUAAGGUAAGACAAGACAGAAAAGUAAACUCUGCUACUCCAUUCAGUACUUGCUUUGAUGAGGUUUUGGCUCAAAGGCAACGCAUUUUUUUAUGAAUUGACCACUGAGGUGUGAGCUUUUUGCAGGGCAGGUAAGAAGCAGUCAGGCUAAAUCCUUUGGUCCUACUGCUACUCACUGGCAAAUGAUUUGGUUUGACAGCAACAUGCCCUGAUGAGAUGCCCAAAGACACCCAUAAAUGACUCUUUGUUUCAUAAAUAUUUUUGUUGGACACCUUGAUGCAAUGACAUGACAGGUCCCACCUGUGAUACAAACCUUGCCUGUACGUGGGUAAGUACGAGCCUAAUACAAGUAACCCAGACCUUUAACACUGACUCAACCAUUUCAAAUUCAUGCAAUGUGCAAAAACAAGACAACCUACUUGUCGGACCGACCUACACAGAGCUUUCUGGAACUCCCUAGGUUCCAGCCCUGAAAAGUUAAUUUCCUUUUGCCCCUUAAACCUCUAUUCCAUGUUGGGACAUGAUCUGCAUGCAUAUUCCCUCUGUUUUACCUUUUUCUUUCUCUGUUCCUUUGCCAUGUAUCUCGGAUAUUCCACAAUUUAUUACCAGGAAACCAACAGGUGCUUGACAGAUGGCAAUUUGCCUGCUAUUAAUUGCUGGGAAACUGCUCACUCAGAGAUCUUAUCUGUUCAUUUUCUACUCCUUAUACUAAUUGGCAUUCCUGAUUGGUGAUAAGGAAGAAUAAUUAGAUAUAGAUGGAGCAUUUUGACUGAUGUAAUCUACACAGCAAAUACCUGUACAGCAACAAUCACAACUGUGCAGGAGCUGGCAGAAAGAUUUGCAUAGAGUUUGUGUGUGGUGUUCAGAAAGGCAGAAAGCUGGUGAAUUACCAUGCAGACUUGCAGAGCUAGCUGGGAUAUCAGAACAAGCUAGAAGGUAUCAUGUCGGAAGGUGUUAAUUAGCAUUGCCAAAGUCCAUUCUCUAGUGUCGAUAGCCUUCAGGAGCAGGCAGCCUUCAAAACCCUUUUAAGCAAAUAGGCCCAUUAGUGGAGGCAACCAGAGCAAUGCAAGCUGGAGCCAAUCAUUCCAAGGCUGAGCAGCACGUGCUCAUGCUUCCCACCACCCUCCUCCAAAAAGGGCAAACCCUGUUAACCCCUACUGAUGCUAUUUUUGCACUGUCUCAGUGAAGAGCUCUGCAGGUGCUGGUCUCUGAAAACCGCACACUCUGGGGUGUGCACACAGACACUGCCUGCCAAGCCCAGGCUCUGCAGAGUGGUGGUGUUUCAACUUGCAGCAACUGAUUUCAUGAGCUCUGGUGAUCAUCUGCUGUGUUAACAUGAGUCAAGGGAGAUCCCUACCAGGCAGGACAGCAGAAAUGAACAACAGAUGGAGCUGUUCAGAAAAAGGAAUGUUUCUCAACAAAAGCUUUCAGAAAUAUUUAUUUUAUGAGUAAAGAUUAAUGUCCUUUAAUUUGUUAUGGAAAAAAAAAAUAAUAUUGCAUUAGGUAACUGUUUCAGGCUUGUCUGCUGUGAUAGAUGUUUAAUGAAAAACAAUCUGGAAUUAGUCUAGGGCAGACAAGAAAAAUUUCCUGAAUGCUGACCAUUGAAAUUUUAAUAACAGAGGAAGUAGCAUGUAUUUUGCUGGGGUUUGUGUGUUUGCAAAUGACAUGCAAUAUGCUAUUAUGGUAAGAGCAAUGAGAUAAUAGAAUUCCCUCCUGGCCUACAGGUUCAGAGAUCUCUGUAAAUGAUGUCUCAAGUUUGCUAAUACUCAUUUACACUUUAAAAUUAUUGUAUUUUCUGUAUGUUCACACCCUUUUUAUUUUGUCUUUCUGUGACUCUUUCACUGAGAAACACUGCUGACAAGAACAUUUACCCAAUGGCAAAUUCAAAGCCAGUUAGGUGGAGUUUCAGCAAAACACCAGGUUCCAGCCCACAUCCAUGAAUACUCUCCUGAGAAGGCCAGCUCUGAGAACCUGUUUCAGCUCAUUUUGAAAUAGUAAUAUAUCACGUGAAUAAUCACAUAAUCAUAUUCUCCUCACAGCAGCUCAUAUGGUACUUGCUAAAUAUUAAGUAUCGGAACAUGUAUACAAAUAAAUUACAAACCCAAAUAGAAAAGAGUUGUGUGGAUGAAAUAUAUGACCAUUUUGAAGUGAAUGAAAAAACAAGGUUCCUCCAACCAUCACUCUCUGAAAAUGUACUCACCAGGGGCAGGAAAGAAACCACCACCUUCUUUCUUUAGAUCUUUUCCUUUCUCCCCUACUUUGCAGACUUUUAUCUGACAUCAGGAACCUAUCCUCCUGCACCUUCUCCAUGGAUGAGAGAAUAGCUGCACUUUGUAGUCUCUCUGUUUGCCAAAACAAUCAGGUAGUAUAUUUAUAGGCAACUAUAAUCAGCUACAGCAAGCAACUAAUUUUUCUUGGAGCAGUUGAACCUAACAGGAGGUGGAUAUAACCUUUCUGGUUCCUCCUUUACUUCUUUUUAAUUUUCUUUAUUUCUUUACCCUUACUAUUAUUACAUUUUUAAUUAAUAAUAGGUUGGAAGGAGGGAGGGAGGGAAAGAAAAAGAGAGAGAGAGAGAGCCUGCUCCCUCUUUCUGCAAAAUAGAUAUAUAUAUAAAGAUGACAAUGUGAUAAAAAAUACCCCUACUUCUUGACAAUUUGUGCUACAGAAAUCUCCAGGUCUUUGGCCUGUGAAGGAAUCCUUAUGUGAUGAGAACUUUUCUACUUGAUAAAUCCUAGCUUCAGGUAGUAUUUCAAAAGAGGUAACCUCUAGAGGACUCAAACAUGAUGAUAGAGGUCACAUGACAGCUACCACAAAACAAGGCAAAUCUGUUUUAAGAAGAUAAAGUAGUCCACCAGCUAAUAAGGGCCUAUGUUUGUGUGUGGUCCUGUGUUAAGGAAUGAUUGAAGGUCUGAACAUCAGGAAGCACUUCGUUACUGUGCAGAUAUUUACCUGUGCCAGGAGCACUGGCACAGGUGGCCCAAAGAGAUGUUGGAAUCUUCCUCCUUGGAGGUAUUCAAAAACCAUCCAGGCAUGGUCCUGGACACGUGGACCUAGGUGGUCCUGCCUGAGCAGGGACAUUGGACCAGACAUCCUCUCCAACCUCAGCCAUGCAGUACUUUUGUGGUUCAAUCUGGACCUCGGCAUCUUCGUGGAUUUAACACUGAAAAUAAAUGGAAAAGAAAUUCAUAGUGAAACAGUGAGAUAUGGAGAUAUGCAGUUCCUUUCAGAUGAAAUAAAUACAUUUGCUUAGUUUCUUGAACACCUCUGUUUUGUACUGAAAUUUUCUAUCUCCUGCUAUUUAGCAUUCAUCCUUGCUACUUCUGCAGGUAUGUUUACAAUGGAGAGGAAUAAUUACUGGAGAUCCUGAAAGAUUCAUUCCCCUUGAAGUUGAGAGUCCUUCUGCAUUUGAAGCUUCCCCUGCACUUGGACUCCUUAAUCCCAGUGUUCCUAACCUUGGCCUAUGGUCUCUCUAAACCUAAAGGAACGGCAAAAUAAUCCUCUGGGCAAACAUUUGCACUUGGCCUUUCUGAAUUUCUUCUUGCCCACAUUAAGGAGAAAGUCAUGAAAAUUAAACAGCUUUUAGUCUGCCAUCCAGAAACACUGAAGUCUAAACAGCUUUUAGUCUGCCACCCUGCUUGGGGACCUGCCUGCUGUUCCAGGACACGUACUACAUGGAUUGCUUUCCUGACAGUGUCAGCAGGAUCUCUGGGCAAAUCAGUUUGUUCCCUUUCUGCUUGUUCUUUAUUGAUCUCACUUAUUCUUCAGAAAAGAAAAUGCUAUCAAUCUCUUCAUGCUCUGUAAGCAAUAGUUUGGGGACUUGAUUUUAUUCCAGACCUCAAACCACAGCAAAAUCUAGACAUUAACAGUGCCCAAGACUAUAUAGAGUAAAAACUGAUAUAUACCCCCAUAUUUACUAUUUCAGACAGGCAGUGCUUCGGGGUUUGUUUCUUGUCCAACCAGGUUUAGCCUUUAACUAAAACAGAGUUUUCAAAGUGUCUGGAUCCCAGCCUAAUGCUAGUCCAGGGGAAAUGAGACGAUCACAGUGGUAAUAAUAUGUAUGUUGGACUCUUAGUCAGAUGUGGUUGUUCUAUUCUUAGCUUAUCUGUCCAUAUGGGAUUUCAAAAGAGGAGAAAGUCGUGUGGUAACAAUUUGCUUGAAAAGGCCACUGUUUUUUCAGUCUGAAGGUUUAAGGGGGUUGUUCAAUUUUCAUCCAGAUGUUAAAAAAAAAAUAAAAUUAAAAAAUGCCAGCUAGUGUAAUAUUAAUCAGCUCUGACUAGAUGUUGUAUUGCUGGGGUAGCCAGGCAUAUGCUUGAGUUGUCAGGUUCAGUUUUCUUUCAAUUUCCUUUGAUUGUAUCAGUCGGGACUGGUUCACAUUACAGUUGUGCUGGCAGUGGCAUGCUUUUCAGGGAAGCCCACCUAUCUGCAUGAUUCAAUGGCUGUGAAAUGGAAGUAACUGCCUGAUUAAAAGUGUCCUGUGCAUUGUGCAGACCUUGCUGGUCCCUUCCCCAGCCAUUCUGCCAUGUCGUGGUGUGGGACUGGACUGGGACAAUGUGCACCAGAAGUGUAAUAGGCUGCAGACCUGCUCCCCCUUCACAGCUUGUUCUGAGGGAGGAUCAGCUGCAUUCAAAGGAAAAAAAAAAUAUUGGAUCUUUCUGUGAUCAUGAUACUUCAGAUUUAAUUCUGAGUACUGAUGAUGUGAUUAAAGCACAGAGUAACCUACCUGUGUGAACUCAACAUAAGCUUUUUUUUUUUUUUUUUCCAGGAACCUUAGUUUCUCAACUUGAAUUUCUGAAAGACUUUGAAACAGAAGCCAAAAGUAACUCUGAGUGCUAAAAUAUGACUAUAAAGAUACAA